rnacentral:ncRNA from 2 species
AACGUAAAUUAAAUAUUUCGUCGUAUAAUGUCGAGAAUAAGGCUCGAAAGUUUCUACCAAACUACCAGUAAAUAGUUUGACUACGACUAUUCAUUCUAGAUGC